rnacentral:rRNA from 1 species
AAUCAACGCUGGCGGCGUGCCUAACACAUGCAAGUCGAGCGCGAAAGGGGGGGUAACUCCCCGAGUAGAGCGGCGAACGGGUGAGUAACGCGUGGGUAAUCUGCCUCCGAGUGGGGAACAACACCGGGAAACUGGUGCUAAUACCGCAUGACAUCCGCGGGGCCUUCGGGUCGUGGGGAGUCAAAGCCGGGGACCGGCAAGGCCUGGCGCUUGGAGAUGAGCCCG